UCGGCCUUUUGGCUAAGAUCAAGUGUA
rnacentral:piRNA from 4 species